AAUGCCGUAAUGUACUACUCAGGAGUGAGUCUUAGGGGGCUAAGCUCCUAAGACAAAAGGGAAACAACCCAGACCGUCAGCUAAGGUCCCUAAUAUAUGCUAAGUGGCAAAGGAAGUGAAGUUGCUUAAACAGCCAGGAGGUUGGCUUAGAAGCAGCCACCCUUUAAAGAAAGCGUAANAGCUCACUGGUUUAGUGAUUUUGCGCCGAAAAUGUAACGGGGCUAAGCAUAUAACCGAANCUACGGGAUUGCUAUGCAAUCGGUAGGGGAGCGUUCUGUACUAGGUUGAAGAUAAAUCGUGAGAUUUGUUGGACGAAUCAGAAGUGAGAAUGUCGGCAUGAGUAACGAAAAGAUAAGUGAGAAUCUUAUCCGCCGAAAACCUAAGGUUUCCUGGGGAAGGCUCGUCCGCCCAGGGUUAGUCGGACCUAAGUCGAGGCCGAAAGGCGUAGUCGAUGGACAACAGGUUAAUAUUCCUGUACCACUAAAAGUGCGUUAUCAGCAAUGGGGUGACGCAGUAGGAUAUGUCAGCCACUUAUUGGAUUGUGGUUUAAGCAUGUAGGAGGAAGAGAAUUGGCAAAUCCGUCUCUUUAACUCUGAGGUGUUAUGACGAAGUGCUUGCACGAAGUGAUUGACUCCACACUGACCAGAAAAACCUCUAGUAAGUGCUUUUGGUGCCCGUACUAAAACCAACACAGGUAGGUAGGUAGAGAAUACUAAGGCGCGCGAGAUAACUCUCGUUAAGGAACUCUGCAAAAUAGCCUCGUAACUUCGGGAGAAGAGGUGCCUAGUUAACGUGAUCGCACUUGCUGCGUAAGCGUGAAUAGGUUGCAAUAAAAUGACUCAAACGACUGUUUAUCAAAAACACAGGUCCAUGCGAAACCGUAAGGUGAUGUAUAUGGGCUGACGCCUGCCCAGUGCUGGAAGGUUAAUAGGAGAUGUCAAUCUUCGGAUGAAGCAUCGAAUUGAAGCCCCGGUGAACGGCGGCCGUAACUAUAACGGUCCUAAGGUAGCGAAAUUCCUUGUCGGGUAAGUUCCGACCCGCACGAAAGGCGUAACGAUUUGAGUACUGUCUCAACGAGAGGCUCGGUGAAAUUGGAGCAUGCGUGAAGAUACGCAUUACCUAUAGCAGGACAGAAAGACCCCGUGGAGCUUUACUGUAGCUUGGCUUUGUAAUUUGGUUUGAUUUGUGCAGGAUAGGUGGGAGACUUUGAAGCAGUGUCGUCAGGCGCUGUGGAGUCGUUGUUGAGAUACCACUCUAAUUACAUUGAAUUACUAACUAUUGACCGUUAUCCGGUAAUAGGACAGAGUCUGGUGGGCAGUUUGACUGGGGCGGUCGCCUCCUAAAANGUAACGGAGGCGCUCAAAGGUUCCCUCAAAACGGUUGGAAACCGUUUGUAGAGCGUAAGGGUAUAAGGGAGCUUGACUGCAAGACUUACAAGUCGAGCAGGGACGAAAGUCGGACCUAGUGAUCCGGUGACUCCGUAUGGAAGGGUCAUCGCUCAACGGAUAAAAGUUACCCCGGGGAUAACAGGCUUAUCUCCCCCAAGAGUUCACAUCGACGGGGAGGUUUGGCACCUCGAUGUCGGCUCAUCGCAUCCUGGG
rnacentral:rRNA from 1 species